rnacentral:rRNA from 1 species
UACGAAGGGGGCUAGCGUUGCUCGGAAUCACUGGGCGUAAAGAGCGCGCAGGCGGUCGUUCAAGUCGCGUGUGAAAGCCCCCGGCUCAACUGGGGAGGGUCACGCGAUACUGAUCGACUGGAAGGCAGGAGAGGGUAGUGGAAUUCCCGGUGUAGUGGUGAAAUGCGUAGAUAUCGGGAGGAACACCAGUGGCGAAGGCGACUACCUGGCCUGUUCUUGACGCUGAGGCGCGAAAGCUGGGGGAGCAAACGGG